GACGAACGCUGGCGGCGUGCCUAACACAUGCAAGUCAACUUGACUGAAGGAGCAAUCUGACAGUAGAGUGGCGCAAGGGUGCGUAACGCGUAAGUAACUUGCCCAAGGUAAGGAAUAACGUCGAGAAAUCGGCGCUAAUACCUCAUAAUGCAGCGGAUCCGCGUGGAUAUGUUGUUAAAGGUUUACCGCCUUGGGAUAGGCUUGCGUCUGAUUAGCUAGUUGGUGUGGUAACGGCACACCAAGGCUACGAUCAGUAACUGGUCUGAGAGGAUGAUCAGUCACACUGGAACUGAGACACGGUCCAGACUCCUACGGGAGGCAGCAGUGAGGAAUAUUGGGCAAUGCUCGAAAGAGUGACCCAGCAACGCCGCGUGGAGGAUGAAGGUAUUCUAUAUCGUAAACUCCUGUGAGAGCAGACGAAAGAACAGAUUAUUAAUCUGGAUGACUGUAUGCUCAGAGG
rnacentral:rRNA from 1 species